rnacentral:rRNA from 1 species
AGGACGAACGCUGGCGGCGUGCUUAACACAUGCAAGUCGAGCGGAAAGGCCCUUCGGGGUACUCGAGCGGCGAACGGGUGAGUAACACGUGAGUAAUCUGCCCCUAGCUCUGGGAUAGCUCCGGGAAACCGGGAUUAAUACCGGAUACGACCACCUUAGACAUCUUUUGUGGUGGAAAGAAUUUCGGCUAGGGAUGAGCUCGCGGCCUAUCAGCUUGUUGGUGGGGUAACGCCUACCAAGGCGACGACGGGUAGCCGGCCUGAGAGGGCGACCGGCCACACUGGGACUGAGACACGGCCCAGACUCCUACGGGAGGCAGCAGUGGGGAUAUUGCGCAAUGGGCGAAAGCCUGACGCAGCGACGCCGCGUGGGGGAUGAAGGCCUUCGGGUUGUAAACCCCUUUCAGCAGGGACGAAGCGAAGUGACGGUACCUGCAGAAGAAGCGCCGGCUAACUACGUGCCAGCAGCCGC